rnacentral:rRNA from 1 species
UACGUAGGGGGCUAGCGUUGUCCGGAAUUAUUGGGCGUAAAGAGCUCGUAGGCGGUGUGUCGCGUCGGCCGUGAAAACCUGCAGCUUAACUGUGGGCGUGCGGUCGAUACGGGCAUCACUGGAGUUCGGCAGGGGAGACUGGAAUUCCUGGUGUAGCGGUGAAAUGCGCAGAUAUCAGGAGGAACACCGGUGGCGAAGGCGGGUCUCUGGGCCGAUACUGACGCUGAGGAGCGAAAGCGUGGGGAGCAAACAGG